rnacentral:rRNA from 1 species
UACGUAGGCGGAAAAUUAAGUCAGUAGUUAAAUCCUGCAGCUUAACUGUAGAACUGUUAUUGAUACUGGUUUUCUUGAAUAUAGUUGAGGUAGGCGGAAUGUGUAAUGUAGCGGUGAAAUGCUUAGAUAUUACACAGAACACCGAUUGCGAAGGCAGCUUACUAGGCUAUGAUUGACGCUGAGGUACGAAAGCGUGGGGAGCGAACAGGAUUAGAUACCCUGGUAGUCC